rnacentral:rRNA from 1 species
GACAGAGGGUGCAAACGUUGUUCGGAAUUACUGGGCGUAAAGCGCGUGUAGGCGGCAGGGCAUGUCGGAUGCGAAAUCCCGUGGCUCAACCACGGAAGUGCACCCGAAACUGCCCAGCUUGAGUCUCGGAGAGGAAGGCGGAAUGCUUGGUGUAGAGGCGAAAUUCGUAGAUAUUCGCAAGAACACCAGUGGCGAAGGCGGCUCACUGGCCCGGUACUGACGCUGAGGUGCGAAAGCGUGGGGAG